GGGGGUGACCGGUUUCGACUUCGGACGCCACGCCAGGGGAAGCGGGCCGAGGAUGAGCGGUUAUCUCGCAAACGAUCCGCUCAAAAGAAUAGCUGCCAACAAGACGCAGCCUGUUACCUCCGCUUACGCCCUCGCGGCCUGACGGAUAUAGGUAACUGUCAGCCUGGGAGCUCCUCCGGCCCAGGACCUGGCAUCGCUAGGAGGAUCACCUCGCCACCCGGUCACGGGGUAGCGCGGAACAUCAAACAGUGACUGGGCCCACACCGGCCUGCCUGCGGGACCGGUGGGGCCGAGAAAUAAGUAGCAGGCUGCGCCCGGAGAAGCCCUGACGCGCCGCCGGAGGACGCGGGUUCGAUUCCCGCCACCUCCACAA
rfam:Frankia sp. BMG5.36 contig_3, whole genome shotgun sequence.